UGGUUCAGUGGUAGAACUCCUGCCUUCCAUGCAGGAGACCCGGGUUCAAUUCCUGG
rnacentral:tRNA from 1 species